UGAGGAACAUGACUUUCGGCGGGGGAUAGCCGGCCCAACGGCCGGGUAAUACCGCGUACGACCUUUUGGGGACAUCCCUGAUUGGUGAAAGCAGCAAUGCGCCGAAAGAGUGCCUCGCGGCCUAUCAGCUAGGUUGGGGGGGUAAUGGCUCACCAAGGCGACGGACGGGUAGCUGGUCUGAGAGGAUGGCCAGCCACAGUUGGGACUGAGACACGGCCCAGACCUCCGUACGGGAGCAGC
rnacentral:rRNA from 1 species